rnacentral:misc_RNA from 1 species
UCUCCGUUGGUGAACCAGCGGAGGGAUCAUUACAGGACUCGCAAGACUCCUAUCACCCUGUGAACUUACCUAUAAGCACGUUGCUUCGGCGAGUGUCCCAGAGAGGGUCCGCCCUCCCCGGGACGCUACGCUCGCCGGCAGCCUACUAAACUCUGUUUCUUUGCGUUGGCAUCUCGAGUAAAUCAAACAAGUUAAAACUUUCAACAACGGAUCUCUUGGUUCUGGCGUCGAUGAAGAACGCAGC